rnacentral:rRNA from 1 species
CCUACGGGUGGCUGCAGUGGGGAAUAUUGGACAAUGGGCGAAAGCCUGAUCCAGCCAUGCCGCGUGUGUGAAGAAGGCCUUCGGGUUGUAAAGCACUUUCAGUGGGGAAGAAAGCCUUGGGGCUAAUACCCUCGAGGAAGGACAUCACCCACAGAAGAAGCACCGGCUAACUCCGUGCCAGCAGCCGCGGUAAUACGGAGGGUGCGAGCGUUAAUCGGAAUUACUGGGCGUAAAGCGCGCGUAGGCGGUCUGAUAAGCCGGUUGUGAAAGCCCCGGGCUCAACCUGGGAACGGCAUCCGGAACUGUUAGGCUAGAGUGCAGGAGAGGAAGGUAGAAUUCCCGGUGUAGCGGUGAAAUGCGUAGAGAUCGGGAGGAAUACCAGUGGCGAAGGCGGCCUUCUGGACUGACACUGACGCUGAGGUGCGAAAGCGUGGGUAGCAAACAGGAUUAGAUACCCGGGUAGUC